UGGGUGUGCCAAAAUAUGCCCAGGGUC
rnacentral:piRNA from 1 species